UCCUGCGCAUGCGCGGUUGUCGACCUUUGCAGGAAACGAAUUGUGACGCAUGAUGGGAACCAAGAGUGGGAGUUAAAGUUUACAAAGCGACAACAAAAGAAUGUAGCUAAACUCCGGGAAUUUGCAGAGUAUCCGACAGAAAAGGAAUGGACCCGCUGGAGUGUCCAAAUGAAGGCCUGGAAGAGACGAGAUGUCGUCCUGACAGCAGACAAGUCUCCAACAGCAGCAAUUGUUGCAAGAUGCAGACGGUGAGUCCCGCCGCAGGGGAACACCCCCUCCAGUACAACUACACUUUCUGGUACAGUCGAAGAACACCGAGUCGUCCCGCGAGCACGCAGAGUUACGAACAAAACAUCCGACGGAUCGGCACCGUGGCAUCGGUGGAGCAGUUCUGGAAGUUCUACAGUCAUCUGGUGCGUCCAGGAGAGCUGAGUGGACACAGCGACUUCCACUUGUUCAAGGAGGGCAUCAAGCCUAUGUGGGAGGGUCCGUGUCCUCCUCUCAGGACGAGUACAACCGCAGCGGGGGCAAGUGGAUCAUCCGGCUUCGGAAAGGGCUGGCGAGCCGAUUUUGGGAGAACAUCAUUCUCGCCAUGGUGGGGGAGCAGUUCAUGGUGGGGGAGGAAGUCUGCGGCGCCGUCGUAUCGAUACGCUUCCAGGAGGACUUCCUUUCAAUCUGGAACAGGACGUCCAAUGAUCAAAUCACAACGUCCAGAAUCAGAGACACUUUAAGACGGGUUCUCAACCUUCCUGCCAACACCAUCAUGGAGUACAAGACUCACAAUGACAGCCUCAGGGACAACUCCAGCUUCAGAAAUACAAAAAUUUCCUUAUGACGGUCGUGGCUGCCGGCUCUGCUGUCCACUCGCAGAAUGCAACGCCCCUCGCCAUGCCCUUGUCUUGAGUUAUUUGAGCUCACAUCGCAGCAGAUGUGUGUGUGUGUGUGUGUGUGUGUGUUUGAAUGUCCGCACGGUGAACCGAUUAAAGCCAGUUGAAGUCG